GUGACUAGUGGCAGAGUGAGGGAGGGAAGGGGUGACUAGUGACAGAGUGAGGGGAUGACUGGUGACAGAGUGAGGGGGGGGUGACUGUCACUAGUCACCCCAUCCCUCUCUCUGUCACUAGUUACUCCCUCCCUAACUCUGUCACUGUGUCACCCCCUUACUCUGUCACUGUGUUACCCCCUCCCUCUGUCACUAGUCACCCCCUCCUCACUCUGUCACUAAUCUGUCAC